UUGGUGGCUGACGAAGCCCAGUGGAGAGGCAUUGUUCCUGUACCUAUGGAAACCUUCCAAAUAGGCCCAUUAUGAUGAAAGCACAUCAAAGAGGGAAUGAUGACAUACCUUUACCAUCCAUCGUCACAUCCACUGUUUGCCCUGGGUAAUACCCAAAAGAGAAGAAAAUAAAGCCACUCUUGCCACAGAGGGAAAUAACUGGAGAGCACUGAGUCUUAGCAGCCAAGGCUGUGAAAUAAGAACUGGUGUGAAGGCUCUUCAUUCAACUCCACAUCUGAAGCUCUGAAAGUGACCUUGUGCACUUUUCUUGAGCCUCUUUACUUUACGUUCCCCCAUUCUGCCACAAAGCUCCUGGUGGGGCUGGUGUCUCCUCUACUCUCCUGCUGAUUUCAUCAAGGUAAAGAAUUCUAUUCCUUUUCAAAUGCUUUGAGAUCAUGGGAUAGAAGACAGCCUGGGGAAGUUCAAAGACGUUUAAUCAUUAGCCUCAGUUCUUUUGAAAAUUAUUAAAGAGCCCAGAAUUAGAAAUUCAGAUUUCCUCCAAAUCCCUGAGAACAAACAACUCUCUUGUAAAUGGCUUAAUGUGUCUGCUUAAUGUACACAAAAUUAUCUUUCAGGAAAGUGGAUUGUUUUUUAUAUCAUUUUGCAUCUCUAAAAUAUACUACCUAUGGCAAAAGGAUUGGGAUUCAAAGUCUGACAAAAUCUACAGCAGAAAUAAUUAGCACCAGAGGCUGUUUCUGAGAGUUAAAUGAAAGAGAAACUGGUUAUUUAUUUAUUUAUUUUCUCUCUAUCUGUAUCUCUCCAUCUCAGCCCCGGGAAGAGGAAUUGUAUCUCUUGGUGCUAGAAGGGUGGCUUGCUGAAUUGCCUUUACAAGGUUUUUUUCUGUAAGACAACACUGAGCCCCCAACACACAACUCCCUGUGGGCCGGAGUGCUAUGGAAACAGCUGCAGUGCUCCAACUCAGGGGAAAACAACCAGAUAAACCCACUGGUUUGCAAACUAGGCACAAGGGCAGAGGAAUAGUGAUGUUUUCUAAUUUAGCAUCCAGGGAGGCAAGGGAGAGUCUUCGCUUAAAUCAUGUUAAUGAAAUUGGAAACACUUGAACUAGCCCAUUGAGGGUCUGUUGCCCCUGUUUUUUAAAGUUCAUCUAAAAGUUAACCUACAAGGAAUUUUCAUUUGGGGAAUUUCUGCAAUGUCAACUCCACUGAUCACCCACAGUGUUUAACACCCUUGCUAUAAAUUUGGGGGCUAGCUUGGCAGCUCCUGCCACCCCCCUGAGUCUGCUACCUUGCUCCAGAAAUAAAAAAUGACUUUGGCCACAGUAAUGUUUCCUCGAUCCUCAGCCCCUCCUGGGGGCCUCCGGCAGUCAUUAUUUUAAAUAAACAUGCCUUUUAUUGUUUUCAGGUACACAGAGAUGGAGGCGCUUCUACCUCUGGAGGAGGGAUGGACUUUCAGGGGCCCCAUGAUUUGCAGCAGUUCAGUCAAAAGCAAUACAAAGAGCAAAGGAUAGGGGCUGUUAUCUUACCCAAGAGCUCCUCAAGCAGAGGAUACUCAAUUGGAAAGGAGGCUCUUGCAGUCAAAUUUGGGGCUAGUGGGGUUACCACGUUUGAUACCAACUAGGAACAAGAUCCCCUUAGAGGCUUCCAACUGAGGAGGGUUCCAAAAGAGAGCUCCAUAGCUGAAAUGAUUCAAAAGAAGCCAACUCCUUCUCAUUGAUCUGGCCCUUUGGAAUAUGGCCCCCUCCUCCCACGGCAUCCUUCCCCCUGCCCAGUGCCUCAGGCCCAUCUACAUGCUUCUACCUAUAGGCUUUGCUUCUUCUCUGGAAAGGAGCGAAGAAGGAAAAGAAUCAUUGGAGGUGAGUCAAAAGUAGGCACCGUAACUCAUGAGGCCUUGUAAGCCAGGGACACAGUUUGAGAUUUUACUUCAAAUGGAGGCAAAACCAGGGGAAAGCCAUGCAGAGACACCCCUUGAUGAACUCUGCUUCACGCCAAUCACUCUGGCAGCUAAGAAAAGUGCAUUCUCUCUCCUUUUGCAGUUCUCCUGGUGCCUAGCACAGGGCCAAGGGCACAGUAGAUGUGAGCCUAACCCUUGUGGCCUUUGCUGAUGAAGGACAGUGAAGGGGAUAAGAAAACAUAAAGACAUUUUGGGCUGCAAGGGAACGAACUACUGAAAAACUACUGCGGCCCCCUCUAUUUAUGGAGAUGCUGAGGCCUUGGAGAGGGAAUUGACUUGUCCAAGGUCAACCAGAAAAGUGAUAGCAGAGCCAGGGUUAGUAUCCAGGUUUCUGCUGAUUGCAGCUCCUCAGAUAAAAGUAAGUGACUUGCCUCUCUUCUCCCAUAUCCAGAAUUGAUCUCAAACACUGUCAUGAAUCCCCAAGGGCCAGAGAGACACACAGCAUGGACCAAGGUGAGUAAACUGUUUUCUCUCUUUCUGAUGAUCUGAGCUUUUUCCUGGAGAGAUCUCAGGUGGCCAAGAAACCAAGUUGCCCACCUCAUGGUUCAGAGGGAAACAAUAACCUCAUGGCAGCUUCCCCGGGAGCCCAUGCAGGUGCCUCAGGGAUUAAGGAGCUCCUGAAAACAACCCCUUUCCUUUGCAGGAAGUGAUUUUCCACCCCUGAGGCAUAACACCAGGCAGAGGCUCUAUCAGUGCCUGCCGAUAUAAUUAGCUCUGGACAGACUCUCCAACCAAGGCAGACACAACCAGGCCCUUGCUCUAGAAACAAAAAGAAUGUUCUGGACCUAUCCCAGUACACUUCCAAACCCCACGCCUUCCUGGGCAAGUCGGGGCUCAGAGACCAAUAAACCCAACAGACUUCAGCAGCAGCCAGGGAGCUGGCAGCCUCUGUCCCCUGAAA